AUUGAACGCUGGCGGCAGGCUUAACACAUGCAAGUCGAGCGGGGGAGGUUGCUUCGGUAACUGACCUAGCGGCGGACGGGUGAGUAAUGCUUAGGAAUCUGCCUAUUAGUGGGGGACAACAUUCCGAAAGGGAUGCUAAUACCGCAUACGUCCUACGGGGGAAAGCAGGGGAUCUUCGGACCUUGCGCUAAUAGAUGAGCCUAAGUCGGAUUAGCUAGUUGGUGGGGUAAAGGCCUACCAAGGCGACGAUCUGUAGCGGGUCUGAGAGGAUGAUCCGCCACACUGGGACUGAGACACGGCCCAGACUCCUACGGGAGGCAGCAGUGGGGAAUAUUGGACAAUGGGCGGAAGCCUGAUCCAGCCAUGCCGCGUGUGUGAAGAAGGCCUUUUGGUUGUAAAGCACUUUAAGCGAGGAGGAGGCUCUUAAGGUUAAUACCCUUGAUGAGUGGACGUUACUCGCAGAAUAAGCACCGGCUAACUCUGUGCCAGCCGCCGCCGUAAGAC
rnacentral:rRNA from 1 species